AAUUUUUUGCAAUGGGCGAAAGCCUGACGGAGCAAUACCGCGUGGGGGAAGAAGGUUUUUGGAUUGUAAACCCCUUUUCUCAGGGAAGAAGAUCUGACGGUACCUGAGGAAUAAGCAUUGGCUAACUCCGUGCCAGCAGCCGCGGUAAGACGGAGGAUGCCAGCGUUAUCCGGAAUUAUUGGGCGUAAAGCGUCCGCAGGUGGUUUAUCAAGUUUGCUGUCAAAGACGGGAGCUUAACUCCCGCAAGGCGGUGGAAACUGGAAAACUAGAGUUUGGUAGGGGUAGCGGGAAUUCCCAGUGUAGCGGUGAAAUGCGUAGAUAUUGGGAAGAACAUCGGUGGCGAAAGCGCGUUACUGGGCCAAAACUGACA
rnacentral:rRNA from 1 species